AUAAUACUCCAUAGAUUAGAGAUACUGGAAUGUUCUUUAGUCAAAAGUUCCGGCGCCUUAGGAUGGAUCUGCGGUCGAUUAGGUUGUUGUUGGGUAAACGGCCCAACAAGCCUGUAAUCGAUACGGGUUGUGGGAGCAAUAGCCCGGAGAUGGAAUCUGAGACAAGAUUCCAGGCCCUACGGGGCGCAGCAGGCGCGAAAACUUUACAAUGCAGGAAACUGUGAUAAGGGAACCCCGAGUGCCCGUAUACGCGGGCUGUCCAGGUGUUUAAAAGUCAUCUGAAGAAAGGGCCGGGCAAGACCGGUGCCAGCCGCCGCGGUAAUACCGGCGGCUCGAGUGGUGGCCACUAUUAUUGGGCUUAAAGCGUCCGUAGCUGGACUGAUAAGUCUCUUGGGAAAUCCGCCGGCUCAACCGGCGGGCGUCUAAGGGAUACUGUUGGUCUAGGGACCGGGAGAGGUGAGAGGUACUCCGGGGGUAGGAGUGAAAUCCUGUAAUCCCCGGGGGACCACCGAUGGCGAAGGCACCUCACCAGAACGGCUCCGACAGUGAGGGACGAAAGCUGGGGGAGCAAACCGGAUUAGAUACCCGGGUAGUCCCAGCCGUAACUAUGCGCGUUAGGUGU
rnacentral:rRNA from 1 species